AUUGAACGCUGGCGGCAGGCCUAACACAUGCAAGUCGAACGAGUGGCGGACGGGUGAGUAAUGUCUGGGAAUCUGCCUGAUGGCGGGGGAUAACUACUGGAAACGGUAGCUAAUACCGCAUACCAUCAGAUGUACCCAUAGGGGAUUAGCUAGUUGGUGGGGUAACGGCUCACCGAGGCGACGAUCCCUAGCUGGUCUGAGAGGCUGAGCAGCCACACUGGGACUGAGACACGGUCCAGACUCCGACGUGAGGCAGCAGUGGGGAAUAUUGCACAAUGGGCGCAAGCCUGAUGCAGCCAUGCCGCGUGUAUGAAGAAGGCCUUCGGGUUGUAAAGUACUUUCAGCGGGGAGGCGUUACCCGCAGAAGAAGUACCGGCUAACUCCGUGCCAGCAGCCGCGGUAAUUC
rnacentral:rRNA from 1 species